CCUACGGGCGGCAGCAGUGAGGAAUAUUGGUCAAUGGACGAGAGUCUGAACCAGCCAAGUAGCGUGAAGGAUGACUGCCCUAUGGGUUGUAAACUUCUUUUAUAAAGGAAUAAAACGAGGCACGUGUGCCUUUUUGCAUGUACUUUAUGAAUAAGCAUCGGCUAACUCCGUGCCAGCAGCCGCGGUAAUACGGAGGAUCCGAGCGUUAUCCGGAUUUAUUGGGUUGAAAGGGAGCCUAGGUGGGUUGGUAAGUCAGUUGUGAAAGUUUGGGGCUCAAACUUAAGAUUGCAAUUGAUACUGGCAGUCUUGAGUACAGUUGAGGUAGGCGGAAUUCGUGGUGUAGCGGUGAAAUGCGUAGAUAUCACGAAGAACCCCGAUUGCGAAGGCAGCUUACUAAACUGUGACUGACAUUGAUGCGCGAAAGUGUGAGUAUCAAACAGGAUUAGAUACCCUAGUAGUC
rnacentral:rRNA from 1 species